CCAAAUUGCAAUUAACUUGAUUUCUAUUAUUACUACUAAUUUAAACAUUUCCAUUCCUUACAGUUUACUAUUUUUUUCUUAUUUUAAACUAAUCUUUUAAAUAAACCAACCUUUUGAUUCUAAUAUUUGAAAUAAACUGAAAUAGCUAGUUGAGUUAUAUAUAUAUAAUUGGGCUGGAAUGCUAUUAAUAGCACAAAGUUGUUGGUGCUAUUAGGUUUUUGGCACUUAGACGAAAAAAUGUACAGUUAGAAUGAUGUGGACCUCCUAAGGUUGAGUAAGGUGGAGUAAGUUGUUCUUUUUUUUUAGAGAGAUAGGUAGCACGCUAGCUGCUUCGUUUAUUUAAUUUAUAAAUAAACUUAGCUGGAAAUGUGAAUCAACUAGGAUUCGAACUUGGGAUCUCGGGUACCAACCACCAAGCUCUUUGCCACUUGCUCUAGGGACGGUCGGUGGUUCAGUAAGUUACUGGUUGAAUAGUAUAAUCUAACGGGUGAAAAUAGUCGAAGGGUUAAAUUUAACGGCGGAAAACUCGAUAGCACCAAGUGUUUGGUGCUAUCGAUAGUAUCCCAGUCGGACUCUCUCUCUCUCUCUCUCUUUAUAUAUAUAUAUAGAACUAGACUGGAAUACUAUCAAUAGCACUAAUGACUUGGUACUAUUAAGUUUUCUGCCAUUGGAUUAAAAGAUGUGCGGUUAGGAUGAUGUGGGCCCUCUAGGGUUGAGUGGGUGAUUGAUUGAAUAGUAUAAUUGAACGGAUGAAAAUGAUAAAAAAGGUAAAUAUAAUGGGAGAAAACUUGAUAGCACAAAAUAUUUCAUACUAUCAAUAAUAUCCCAGCCGUUCUAUAUAUAUAUGGAGAAAAAUGGUUACUUAUAAGAAAAUUUUUCUUUGAUUGUCAGGGAUUAAUAUGCAUUAUAUAUAUGUA
rnacentral:lncRNA from 1 species